AAAAUUUUUAAAGUAACGUUUUUAGAAAUUUUUAGUUAUCAAAAUCAACCACUGAUAAGAGAAGUAUUAUUGUAUUUUAUGGUUAAACAGUGCUAACAGAUGUAAUGUUAUGUAGUCUGUGAUGCAAUACUCAUUUUAUAUAAUUACUGACAUGCAGAUUGGACACUUAUUCAAAAAAUUUUUAUUUACCAUAAAUAAAUUCAAUCAUUGGUAUUACUACAAAAUCUGACAUCCUUUGCUAUGAUGAUGGUGACGAUGAUAAAUAUUAAUUAUUACAAAUUUUUUAUGACAGGUGAAAAUUACGAACCUCAUUCCGAUGGUGAAAACGAAGAGUCUGAUCAUGAGGAGUAAUGAUAUAUUCAUUGAAAUGCCCGCAUCACAUUAUAUGGCAUCAGACCGUGACAAUGGUCAUAAUUUAGAUGUGCCAGGGCCUAGCACAUCAAGGGCAAAUGCAAACAAUGGUGAUAAUCCAGAUAAGCCACCAAGGCGUAAAAAAUCAAGGCCUGAUCCAAGUAAGUAAAUGUUAGAUA
rnacentral:lncRNA from 1 species